GGCAGACUAGAGUGAUGUAGGGGAGACUGGAAUUCCUGGUGUAGCGGUGAAAUGCGCAGAUAUCAGGAGGAACACCGAUGGCGAAGGCAGGUCUCUGGGCAUUAACUGACGCUGAGGAGCGAAAGCAUGGGGAGCGAACAGGAUUAGAUACCCUGGUAGUCCAUGCCGUAAACGUUGGGCACUAGGUGUGGGGGACAUUCCACGUUUUCCGCGCCGUAGCUAACGCAUUAAGUGCCCCGCCUGGGGAGUACGGCCGCAAGGCUAAAACUCAAAGGAAUUGACGGGGGCCCGCACAAGCGGCGGAGCAUGCGGAUUAAUUCGAUGCAACGCGAAGAACCUUACCAAGGCUUGACAUGGACCGGACCGGGCUGGAAACAGUCCUUCCCCUUUGGGGCCGGUUCACAGGUGGUGCAUGGUUGUCGUCAGCUCGUGUCGUGAGAUGUUGGGUUAAGUCCCGCAACGAGCGCAACCCUCGUUCCAUGUUGCCAGCGCGUAAUGGCGGGGACUCAUGGGAGACUGCCGGGGUCAACUCGGAGGAAGGUGGGGACGACGUCAAAUCAUCAUGCCCCUUAUGUCUUGGGCUUCACGCAUGCUACAAUGGCCGGUACAAAGGGUUGCGAUACUGUGAGGUGGAGCUAAUCCCAAAAAGCCGGUCUCAGUUCGGAUUGGGGUCUGCAACUCGACCCCAUGAAGUCGGAGUCGCUAGUAAUCGCAGAUCAGCAACGCUGCGGUGAAUACGUUCCCGGGCCUUGUACACACCGCCCGUCAAGUCACGAAAGUUGGUAACACCCGAAGCCGGU
rnacentral:rRNA from 1 species